rnacentral:rRNA from 1 species
UACGUAGGGUGCAAGCGUUAAUCGGAAUUACUGGGCGUAAAGCGUGCGCAGGCGGUUUUGUAAGUCUGUCGUGAAAUCCCCGGGCUUAACCUGGGAAUGGCGAUGGAGACUGCAAGGCUAGAGUUUGGCAGAGGGGGGUAGAAUUCCACGUGUAGCAGUGAAAUGCGUAGAGAUGUGGAGGAAUACCGAUGGCGAAGGCAGCCCCCUGGGAUAACACUGACGCUCAUGCACGAAAGCGUGGGGAGCAAACAGG